rnacentral:rRNA from 2 species
GUGCAAUGGCAUAAGCCAGCUUGACUGCGAGCGUGACGGCGCGAGCAGGUGCGAAAGCAGGUCAUAGUGAUCCGGUGGUUCUGAAUGGAAGGGCCAUCGCUCAACGGAUAAAAGGUACUCCGGGGAUAACAGGCUGAUACCGCCCAAGAGUUCAUAUCGACGGCGGUGUUUGGCACCUCGAUGUCGGCUCAUCACAUCCUGGGGCUGAAGUAGGUCCCAAGGGUAUGGCUGUUCGCCAUUUAAAGUGGUACGCGAGCUGGGUUUAGAACGUCGUGAGACAGUUCGGUCCCUAUCUGCCGUGGGCGCUGGAGAACUGAGGGGGGCUGCUCCUAGUACGAGAGGACCGGAGUGGACGCAUCACUGGUGUUCGGGUUGUCAUGCCAAUGGCACUGCCCGGUAGCUAAAUGCGGAAGAGAUAAGUGCUGAAAGCAUCUAAGCACGAAACUUGCCCCGAGAUGAGUUCUCCCUGACUCCUUGAGAGUCCUGAAGGAACGUUGAAGACGACGACGUUGAUAGGCCGGGUGUGUAAGCGCAGCGAUGCGUUGAGCUAACCGGUACUAAUGAACCGUGAGGCUUAACCUUACAACGCCGAAG